AAUGCAUCUUGCACUCCUUGGUACUCUGAGGAGUAUGCCUGUUUGAGUGUUAUAAUAUUAUCAACUACUUUGAUUUUAUCAAAAUGAAGUUGGAUUAUGAAGGUAUUUUAAAUGCAGACAGUUAUGUUUGCUCCUUUAAAAUAUAUUCAAGGGCAACACUUAUCUUGGGGUAUUUAACAAUAUAUAAUAAACUUACUAUAUUGUUUCUAUACCAAGUUUGUGUCACACAUAUAUAUAUAACAAGUUUAACCUCAAAUCAGGUAGGACUACCCGCUGAACUUAA
rnacentral:misc_RNA from 1 species